rnacentral:lncRNA from 10 species
AUGAGCAGGCGCUAAACCUGGUUUAGGUAUUUAGGCAGCGCGCGGCCCGGCUCGUAACUCCUCCUGCUGCAGCAGGCGUAUCGUUGGCCUCGCCUCGACCCCGGAAGUGACUUCUGGAAGUGACCCAGGAAGUGACAGUGAGCUGCCUCUCUGCGAUUGGUUUUGCCCGAGUUUUAUUUUUGUCUGUCUCAGCUAGAAAGUGGGAGACUUUCAUUUAAAAUGGAAAUUGGGGCGAGGGGUUGGCGGCUGGGCGAAGGGAGCAUUCAAAAGCGGAGAAUGUCACUUUACCCGAGAAAUUCACUACGAUGGGCCAUUGGUUUCUGCUCGGCUCGCAGGCGCACUGCACGAGUGGAGGUGUGGCUAGUGGCUGUGAUGAGAUAAAUCCAUGCAUAGCCUUUUCAUUGCGAGCUUGAAAGUUCUUUUCUAUUACAGUUUUAGCUUUAGGUUUAAUUGGUUCGACUGCCUUCUCCACAAUUUGGGCGAGAAUUUCCUUUGCCUUCUCAGCAAAAGUUGUUCUGCGGACCCGUCUGGGUCAACUUUCAUGAGGGACAUUGAGACAAACAAAUGAAAUAUGGGUUAAAGGACUCUGAGCAGCUACAAAAAGAAGACCAGUCUAUCCUGCUGGAGACAGUGGCCACGUGAAGAAAGAGCUCUUGCAGUAUGAAAGACCACAUGGAAAGAGAGGCCACAUGGAACCAACAGUCAGCAUCUUGGUUUCGGACACGUGAAGAAAUUCAUCUCAGACUGUGUAUCCUAAAUCAGGCACUUGCUGAAUCUAACUACAUGAGUGAGACCAGUUGACAACACAUGGAGCAGACAUGAGCUGUUCUCAGUGAGUCCUACACAAAUUCCUGACUCACAACACUGUGAGCAAUAAAAUGGUUGUUAUUUUAAGCCACUGAAGUUUGCAGUGAUUUCUUACAUAGGAAUAGAUAAAUGAAACACAAACAUUGAUCAUUUGCAUCUUCUAUCUUUUUUAUGACUAGUCUUAUUGGAAAUUACCAGUUUAUUUCUGCCAUGGUUAGAAAACAAACUCUGAAAUUUUGAUACUUUAAAAUUUUUUUGAGACUUACUGUGCCCAGAAUAUAGUCUAUCUUGGUGAAUGUUCUGUGAGCACUAGACAAGAAUAUGUAUUCUGUAGUUAUUGAGCAUUGUGUCCAUCAAUGUCAACGUGAUUAAGGUGGUUAAUAGUUGUCUUCAGAUCUUCUAUAUUGUAUUGAUUGUUUUAUGUGUAGUGUUGCUAUUAAUUAUUGAUACAGGAGUGUAAAACUUAAACUAUGGCUGUGAAUUUGCCACUUACUUUAGUUUUGUCAGCUUUUCUUUUGCAUUUUUGAAGCUCUGUUAUUGGGCAUAUAAACAUUUAUGGUUCGUGUGUCUUCCUGAUGAAUUGACCAUUUUAUCAUUAUGAAAUGUCUUUAUUGCUGAUAAUACUCCUUAUCUUGAAGUCUAA